rnacentral:rRNA from 1 species
AAUAUUGGACAAUGGGCGAAAGCCUGAUCUAGCCAGGCCGCGUGUGUGAAGAAGGUAUUCGGAUUGUAAAGCACUUUAUGUUGGGAGGAAGGGUUGUAGGCUAAUACCCUCCAAUUCUGACGUUACCAAUUGAUUAAGCAUCCGCUCACUCCGUGCUCGCAGCCGCGGUAAUACUAAGGGUGCAAGCGUUAAUCGGAAUUACUGGGCGUAAAGCGCGCGUAGGUGGUUCGUUAAGUUGGAAGUGAAAGCCCCGGGCUUAACCUGGGAAUUGCUUUCAAAACUGACGAGCUAGAGUACGGUAGAGGGUAGUGGAAUUUCCUGUGUAGCGGUGAAAUGCGUAGAUAUAGGAAGGAACAUCAGUGGCGAAGGCGACUACCUGGACUGAUACUGACACUGAGGUGCGAAAGCGUGGGGAGCAAACAGG